AUGUUUAUCUCCGGGGAACGCCACUCCUGCUGGUUCACAACGGGCCACGGCCAACGCCAACUGAUAUCUUCUCCAACGACGAUGAUGCUGGCCCGUCUCCAAACAUCACAGAAAGGUAAUUGUGUUGGUAAGCUGAUGAUGCGCAUGUGGGCACAGUGCGUAUUGUACUACUUGAUGUACCAGUACAUUGGUAGGGUAGGGCGGCCUUUGCCAUGUUGGGUGCGCUCGCUUGGCAGGCCACGAGACAAUAAAAAGUAUAUUUGGUGUUGUUUGCGGGGUGGAGAUCGCACGGGAACAAUCUAUUUGUUCUAUUUUGCCCGGGUUCUCCACCCUGCCAUGGUGUCUCUGUCCUUCUCCUGUGUUUGA
rnacentral:rRNA from 1 species